rnacentral:rRNA from 1 species
CGCCUGUUUAUCAAAAACAUCUCUUCUCGUUAGUUUUUGAAGUAUGGCCUGCCCACUGACCUUGAAUGUUGAAGGGCCGCGGUAUUUUGACCGUGCAAAGGUAGCAUAGUCAUUAGUUCUUUAAUUGUGAUCUGGUAUGAAUGGCUUGACGAGGCAUGAGCUGUCUUAAUUUUGAAUUGUUUAUUGAAUUUGGUCUUUGAGUUAAAAUUCUUAGAUGUUUUUAUGGGACGAGAAGACCCUAUAGAGUUUUACAUUUAUUAUGGUCUUUUUCUGUUUGUGAGGGUUCACUAGGGCUGUUUAAUAUGUUUUGUUGGGGUGAUGGGAGGGAUAUUGUUUAACCCCUCCUUUAUGUUGUUAUAUUUAUUUAUAUUUGCUUGAUCCAUUUAUUUUGAUUGUAAGAUUAAAUUACCUUAGGGAUAACAGCGUAA